UACAGAGGUCUCAAGCGUUGUUCGGAUUCAUUGGGCGUAAAGGGCGCGUAGGCGGCGGGGUAAGUCUGGUGUGAAAUCUCGGAGCUCAACUCCGAAAUUGCACUGGAUACUGCUCUGCUUGAGGGUUGGAGAGGAGAUCGGAAUUCACGGUGUAGCAGUGAAAUGCGUGGAUAUCGUGAGGAAGACCAGUGGCGAAGGCGGAUCUCUGGACAAAUCCUGACGCUGAGGCGCGAAGGCUAGGGGAGCAAACGGG
rnacentral:rRNA from 1 species